rnacentral:tRNA from 4 species
GGGCCCGUAGCUCAGCCAGGUAGAGCGCCCGGCUCAUAACCGGGUGGUCGGGGGUUCAAAUCCCCCCGGGCCCACCA